rnacentral:tRNA from 1 species
GCCUUCAUAGUCUAAUGGUCAGCACUCUCGGCUCGUAUUCGAGAGGUCCGAGGUUCGAAUCCCGGCGAGUGUA